rnacentral:rRNA from 1 species
GACGAACGCUGGCGGCGUGCUUAACACAUGCAAGUCGAACGGAAAGGCGCUGCUUUUGUGGGGUGCUCGAUUGGCGAACGGGUGAGUAACACGUGAGUAACCUGCCCUUAACUUUGGGAUAACUUCAGGGAACUGGGGCUAAUAUCGGAUAGGAUCUCCUGCUGCAUGGGGGUGGUUGGAAAGUGUCGGCGGUUGGGGCUGGACUCGAUGUUUAUGAGCUUGAUUGUGGGGUAGUGGAUUACCAAGGCUUUGACGGGUAGCCCGCAUGAGAGGGUGACCGGGCACCUUGCUACUGCGCUACGGCGCAGACUGGUACGGGAGGCAGCAGUGGGGAAUAUUGCACAAUGGGCGGACGUCUGAUGUAGAAACGCCGCGUGCGGGAUGACGGCUUUCGGGUUGUAAACCGAUUUCGCAUGUGACGAAGCGUGAGUGACGGUAAUGGGUAAAGAAGCACCGGCUAACUACGUG